AUACGUAGGGGGCGAGCGUUGUCCGGAAUGAUUGGGCAUAAAGGGCGCGUAGGCGGCCCGGUAAGUCUGGAGUGAAAGUCCUGUUUUUGAGAUGGGAAUUGCUUUGGAUACUGUCGGGCUUGAGUGCAGGAGAGGUAAGUGGAAUUCCCAGUGUAGCGGUGAAAUGCGUAGAGAUUGGGAGGAACACCAGUGGCGAAGGCGACUUACUGGACUGUAACUGACGCUGAGGCGCGAAAGUGUGGGGAGCAAACAGGAUUAGGUACCCUGGUAGUCCACACUGUAAACGAUGAAUGCUAGGUGUAGGGGGUAUCGACCCCUUCUGUGCCGCAGUCAACACAAUAAGCAUUCCGCCUGGGGAGUACGGCCGCAAGGUUGAAACUCAAAGGAAUUGACGGGG
rnacentral:rRNA from 1 species